rnacentral:rRNA from 1 species
GGGACACGUGGUAUCCUGUCUGAAUAUGGGGGGACCAUCCUCCAAGGCUAAAUACUCCUGACUGACCGAUAGUGAACCAGUACCGUGAGGGAAAGGCGAAAAGAACCCCGGCGAGGGGAGUGAAAAAGAACCUGAAACCGUGUACGUACAAGCAGUGGGAGCACGCUUAGGCGUGUGACUGCGUACCUUUUGUAUAAUGGGUCAGCGACUUAUAUUCUGUAGCAAGGUUAACCGAAUAGGGGAGCCGAAGGGAAACCGAGUCUUAACUGGGCGUUAAGUUGCAGGGUAUAGACCCGAAACCCGGUGAUCUAGCCAUGGGCAGGUUGAAGGUUGGGUAACACUAACUGGAGGACCGAACCGACUAAUGUUGAAAAAUUAGCGGAUGACUUGUGGCUGGGGGUGAAAGGCCAAUCAAACCGGGAGAUAGCUGGUUCUCCCCGAAAGCUAUUUAGGUAGCGCCUCGUGAAUUCAUCUCCGGGGGUAGAGCACUGUUUCGGCAAGGGGGUCAUCCCGACUUACCAACCCGAUGCAAACUGCGAAUACCGGAGAAUGUUAUCACGGGAGACACACGGCGGGUGCUAACGUCCGUCGUGAAGAGGGAAACAACCCAGACCGCCAGCUAAGGUCCCAAAGUCAUGGUUAAGUGGGAAACGAUGUGGGAAGGCCCAGACAGCCAGGAUGUUGGCUUAGAAGCAGCCAUCAUUUAAAGAAAGCGUAAUAGCUCACUGGUCGAGUCGGCCUGCGCGGAAGAUGUAACGGGGCUAAACCAUGCACCGAAGCUGCGGCAGCGACGCUUAUGCGUUGUUGGGUAGGGGAGCGUUCUGUAAGCCUGUGAAGGUGUGCUGUGAGGCAUGCUGGAGGUAUCAGAAGUGCGAAUGCUGACAUAAGUAACGAUAAAGCGGGUGAAAAGCCCGCUCGCCGGAAGACCAAGGGUUCCUGUCCAACGUUAAUCGGGGCAGGGUGAGUCGACCCCUAAGGCGAGGCCGAAAGGCGUAGUCGAUGGGAAACAGGUUAAUAUUCCUGUACUUGGUGUUACUGCGAAGGGGGGACGGAGAAGGCUAUGUUGGCCGGGCGACGGUUGUCCCGGUUUAAGCGUGUAGGCUGGUUUUCCAGGCAAAUCCGGAAAAUCAAGGCUGAGGCGUGAUGACGAGGCACUACGGUGCUGAAGCAACAAAUGCCCUGCUUCCAGGAAAAGCCUCUAAGCAUCAGGUAACAUCAAAUCGUACCCCAAACCGACACAGGUGGUCAGGUAGAGAAUACCAAGGCGCUUGAGAGAACUCGGGUGAAGGAACUAGGCAAAAUGGUGCCGUAACUUCGGGAGAAGGCACGCUGAUAUGUAGGUGAAGUCCCUUGCGGAUGGAGCUGAAAUCAGUCGAAGAUACCAGCUGGCUGCAACUGUUUAUUAAAAACACAGCACUGUGCAAACACGAAAGUGGACGUAUACGGUGUGACGCCUGCCCGGUGCCGGAAGGUUAAUUGAUGGGGUCAGCGCAAGCGAAGCUCUUGAUCGAAGCCCCGGUAAACGGCGGCCGUAACUAUAACGGUCCUAAGGUAGCGAAAUUCCUUGUCGGGUAAGUUCCGACCUGCACGAAUGGCGUAAUGAUGGCCAGGCUGUCUCCACCCGAGACUCAGUGAAAUUGAACUCGCUGUGAAGAUGCAGUGUACCCGCGGCAAGACGGAAAGACCCCGUGAACCUUUACUAUAGCUUGACACUGAACAUUGAGCCUUGAUGUGUAGGAUAGGUGGGAGGCUUUGAAGUGUGGACGCCAGUCUGCAUGGAGCCGACCUUGAAAUACCACCCUUUAAUGUUUGAUGUUCUAACGUGGACCCGUGAUCCGGGUUGCGGACAGUGUCUGGUGGGUAGUUUGACUGGGGCGGUCUCCUCCUAAAGAGUAACGGAGGAGCACGAAGGUUGGCUAAUCCUGGUCGGACAUCAGGAGGUUAGUGCAAUGGCAUAAGCCAGCUUGACUGCGAGCGUGACGGCGCGAGCAGGUGCGAAAGCAGGUCAUAGUGAUCCGGUGGUUCUGAAUGGAAGGGCCAUCGCUCAACGGAUAAAAGGUACUCCGGGGAUAACAGGCUGAUACCGCCCAAGAGUUCAUAUCGACGGCGGUGUUUGGCACCUCGAUGUCGGCUCAUCACAUCCUGGGGCUGAAGUAGGUCCCAAGGGUAUGGCUGUUCGCCAUUUAAAGUGGUACGCGAGCUGGGUUUAGAACGUCGUGAGACAGUUCGGUCCCUAUCUGCCGUGGGCGCUGGAGAACUGAGGGGGGCUGCUCCUAGUACGAGAGGACCGGAGUGGACGCAUCACUGGUGUUCGGGUUGUCAUGCCAAUGGCACUGCCCGGUAGCUAAAUGCGGAAGAGAUAAGUGCUGAAAGCAUCUAAGCACGAAACUUGCC